GGACGAACGCUUGCGGCGUGCCUAAGAAAUGCAAGUCGAACGGAAAGGUCCUUCGGGACACUCGAGUGGCGAACGGUCGCGUAACACGUAAGCAACCUGCCUCAAAGUGGGGGACAACAAUCCGAAAGGAUUGCUAAUACCGCAUGUGGCCAACGGGGGGCAUCCCCUGUUGUCUAAAGGAUUUAUUCGCUUUGAGAUGGGCUUGCGGCCCAUCAGGUAGUUGGUGGGGUAACGGCCUACCAAGCCUUCGACGGGUAGCUGGUCUGAGAGGACGAUCAGCCGGAUUGGGACUGAGAUACGGCCCAGACUCCUACGGGGGGCAGCAAUUAGGAAUCUUGCACAAUGGGCGAAAGCCUGAUGCAGCGACGCCGCGUGAAGGAUGAAGGAUUUCGGUCUGUAAACUUCUUUUAAGUGGGAAGAAAUUUGACGGUACCACUUGAAUAAGCCCCGGCUAACUACGUGCCAGCAGCCGCGGUAAUACGUAGGGGGCGAGCGUUGUCCGAAGUUACUGGGCGUAAAGCGCGCGUAGGCGGUUAAUUAAGUCUGUGGUGAAAGGUUCAGCGCUCAACGCGAACAUUGCCCUGGAUACUGGUUGACUUGAGUCUGGGAGGGGGUAGUGG
rnacentral:rRNA from 1 species